rnacentral:rRNA from 1 species
CAGUAGCCGCGGUAAUACGAAGGGGGCUAGCGUUGUUCGGAAUUACUGGGCGUAAAGCGCACGUAGGCGGAUACUUAAGUCAGGGGUGAAAUCCCGGGGCUCAACCCCGGAACUGCCUUUGAUACUGGGUAUCUCGAGUCCGGAAGAGGUGGGUGGAAUUCCGAGUGUAGAGGUGAAAUUCGUAGAUAUUCGGAGGAACACCAGUGGCGAAGGCGGCUCACUGGUCCGGUACUGACGCUGAGGUGCGAAAGCGUGGGGAGCAAACAGGAUUAGAUACCCCUGUAGUCCCUGUCUCUUAUAC